GGGAUCGAAAGACCUUAUGCUUUUGGAGCGGCCGAUGUCUGAUUAGCUAGUUGGUAAGGUAAUGGCUUACCAAGGCAACGAUCAGUAGUUGGUCUGAGAGGACGACCAGCCACACUGGGACUGAGACACGGCCCAGACUCCUACGGGAGGCAGCAGUGGGGAAUUUUGGACAAUGGGCGCAAGCCUGAUCCAGCAAUGCCGCGUGAGUGAAGAAGGCCUUCGGGUUGUAAAGCUCUUUCAGUUGAGAAGAAAAGAUUGUAACUAAUAAUUGCAAUCCAUGACGGUAUCGACAGAAGAAGCACCGGCUAACUACGUGCCAGCAGCCGCGGUAAUACGUAGGGUGCAAGCGUUAAUCGGAAUUACUGGGCGUAAAGGGUGCGCAGGCGGUUCUGUAAGUCAGAUGUGAAAUCCCCGGGCUUAACCUGGGAACUGCGUUUGAAC
rnacentral:rRNA from 1 species